AAUAUUGGACAAUGGGGGCAACCCUGAUCCAGCCAUGCCGCGUGUGUGAAGAAGGNUUNNGGAUUNUNAAGCACUUUAAGUUGNNNNNAAGGGUCGUGGAUUAUUACUCUGCACUUUUGACGUUACCAACAGAAUAAGCACCGGCUAACUUCGUGCCAGCAGCCGCAGUAAUACGAAGGGUGCAAGUGUUAAACGGCAUUAGUGGGCGUAAAGAGGGCGUAGGUGGUUUGCCAAGUUGGAAGUGGAAGCCCCGGGCUUAACCUGGGAACUGCUUUCAUAACUGCUGAGGUAGAGUACGGUAGAGGGUAGUGGAAUUUCCUGUGUAGCGGUGAAAUGCGUAGAUAUAGGAAGGAACACCAGUGGCGAAGGCGACUACCUGGACUGAUACUGACACUGAGGUGCGAAAGCGUGGGGAGCAAAC
rnacentral:rRNA from 1 species